rnacentral:rRNA from 1 species
UGGCGGACGGGUGAGUAACGCGUGGGUAACCUGCCUCAUACAGGGGGAUAACAGUUGGAAACGGCUGCUAAUACCGCAUAAGCGCACAGUACCGCAUGGUACCGUGUGAAAAACUCCGGUGGUAUGAGAUGGACCCGCGUCUGACUAGGUAGUUGGUGGGGUAACGGCCUACCAAGCCGACGAUCAGUAGCCGACCUGAGAGGGUGACCGGCCACAUUGGGACUGAGACACGGCCCAAACUCCUACGGGAGGCAGCAUG